rnacentral:rRNA from 1 species
GCUGGAUUCGCUAGUAAUCGCGCAUCAGCCAUGGCGCGGUGAAUACGUUCCCGGGCCUUGUACACACCGCCCGUCAAGCCAUGGGAGCCGGGGGUGCUUGAAGUGCGUCGCCGCAAGGCGCGCCCUAGAGCAAAACCGGUGACUGGGGCUAAGUCGUAACAAGGUAGC